rnacentral:rRNA from 1 species
GGACUACCCGGGUUUCUAAUCCUGUUCGCUCCCCACGCUUUCGCUCCUCAGCGUCAGGACAGGCCCAGAGAACCGCCUUCGCCACCGGUGUUCCUCCCGAUAUCUGCGCAUUUCACCGCUACACCGGGAAUUCCGUUCUCCCCUGCCUGCCUCCAGCCAGCCCGUAUCCACCGCACGCCCGGGGUUGAGCCCCAGGAUUUCACGGCGGACGCGACAGGCCGCCUACGAGCUCUUUACGCCCAAUGAUUCCGGACAACGCUCGCGCCCUACGUAUUACCGCGGCUGCUGGCAC